UGGAAGUUUGGUGCUUUAGAGAUAGUGCCGACACGCUUAGCUGGAAAGCAAUAAGUCAACAAUACAAGGCUUUUUAACAAGGAAAGGUUUUGCUCGAUUACCCUGUAUCCAUUCUCGAUUAAAGCACGGGUUUUUUCUCUCUUGUUUUAUGCUAUCUUCUCCACAACUUGGUUUUUAUGGAUCUCCUCCGGGUCCUAAGGCAGAUUGUCUCUAGCUCUGCUCUCUAUCGGUAGUUCAAUCCUUACUUUUCUCCUGUCUCUGUCUAUUCCUUCAACACCUUUAUGUCAACUCUUAGCACUGGCAUAACAUAACCCCUUAAGGAAUCAAUAAGCAUAAGACCUAUAGCGAGGAGAUAGAAUAUCAGUCAUAAUCCUAGUGAGUUCUUUGAAAGUGGGAAGAAAGCCGGGUGAGUUCUUUGAAAGUGGGAAGAAAGCAGGCAUAGGGUCUUUCAAAUCAAGAAGGAAAGCGUGAGCUGAGAAAGAACACGGCUUGGCGGGCAGGCUUGC
rnacentral:lncRNA from 1 species